UACAGAGGUCCCGAGCGUUGUUCGGAUUCAUUGGGCGUAAAGGGCGCGUAGGCGGUGCGGUACGGUUUCGGUGAAAUCCCUCGGCCCAACCGAGGAACAGCCGGAGCUACGGCCGGACUAGACGGCAUCAGGGGACAGUGGAACUCCCGGUGGAGCGGUGAAAUGCGUAGAUAUCGGGAGGAACGCCGGUGGCGAAAGCGACUGUCUGGGGUGCCUGUGACGCUGAGGCGCGAAAGUGUGGGGAGCGAACAGG
rnacentral:rRNA from 1 species